rnacentral:rRNA from 2 species
UGGGGAAUAUUGCACAAUGGAGGGAACUCUGAUGCAGCGACGCCGCGUGAACGAAGAAGGCUUUCGAGUCGUAAAGUUCUUUUAUAUGGGAAGAUAAUGACGGUACCAUAAGAAAAAGCCCCGGCUAACUGCGUGCCAGCAGCCGCGGUAAUACGUAGGGGGCUAGCGUUGUCCGGAAUCACUGGGCGUAAAGGGUUCGCAGGCGGAAAUGCAAGUCAGGUGUAAAAGGCAGUAGCUUAACUACUGUAAGCAUUUGAAACUGCAUAUCUUGAGAAGAGUAGAGGUAAGUGGAAUUUUUAGUGUAGCGGUGAAAUGCGUAGAUAUUAAAAAGAAUACCGGUGGCGAAGGCGACUUACUGGGCUCAUUCUGACGCUGAGGAACGAAAGCGUGGGUAGCAAACAGG